CAUGCUGACUAGCGAUCCGUAGCUGUUUUCUAUGUAGGCUCUACGGGAAGCUUCCGGGAAACCAAAGUUUUUGAGUUCCGGGGGAAGUAUGGUUGCAAAGCUGAAACUUAAAGGAAUUGACGGAAGGGCACCACCAGGAGUGGAGCCUGCGGCUUAAUUUGACUCAACACGGGAAAUCUCACCAGGCCCGGACACUGGAAGGAUUGACAGAUUGAGAGCUCUUUCUCGAUUCAGUGGGUGGUGGUGCAUGGCCGUUCUUAGUUGGUGGAGUGAUUUGUCUGGUUAAUUCCGAUAACGAACGAGACUCUUUUCUGCUAAAUAGGUUUGCCGUCUUUUUUGCGGUAAACAUUCUUCUUAGAGAGACUGGCGGCGUCUAGCCGCACGAGAUUGAGCAAUAACAGGUCUGUGAUGCCCUUAGAUGUUCUGGGCUGCACACGCGCUACACUGAAUGGAUCAGCGUGUUUUCCCUUCCCGAGAGGGACGGGUAACCCGCUGAACCCCAUUCGUGGUAGGGAUCGGAGCUUGCAAUUAUUCUCCGUGAACCAGGAAUUCCCAGUAAGCGCAAGUCAUAAGCUUGCGUUGAUUACGUCCCUGCCCUUUGUACACACCGCCCGUCGCUACUACCGAUUGAACGUUUUAGUGAGAAAUCUGGAUUCGACCUCUGUGGGUUCAUUCCCACAGUGCUGUCGGAGAAGUUUUUCAAACUUGAGCGUUUAGAGGAAGUAAAAGUCGUAACAAGGUAGCUGUAGGUGAACUGCAGAAGG
rnacentral:rRNA from 1 species